UACGAGAGGCCCAAACGUUAUUCGGAAUUACUGGGCUUAAAGAGUCCGUAGGCGGCGCAGAAAGUAGGGUGUGAAAGCCCUCGGCUUAACCGAGGAAUUGCGCUCUAAACUACUGUGCUUGAGGAACCUAGAGGUGAGCGGAACUGAUGGUGGAGCGGUGAAAUGCGUUGAUAUCAUCAGGAACACCGGAGGCGAAGGCGGCUCACUGGGGGUUAGCUGACGCUGAGGGACGAAAGCCAGGGGAGCGAAAGGG
rnacentral:rRNA from 1 species